UUCGAUUGUGCCAGCAGCCGCGGUAAUACGUAGGGGGCUAGCGUUGUCCGGAAUCAUUGGGCGUAAAGAGCGUGUAGGCGGCCCGGUAAGUCCGCUGUGAAAGUCAAAGGCUCAACCUUUGAAUGUCAGCGGAUACUGCCGGGCUAGAGUCCGGAAGAGGCGAGUGGAACUCCUGGUGUAGCGGUGGAAUGCGCAGAUAUCAGGAAGAACACCAACGGCGAAGGCAGCUCGCUGGGACGGUACUGACGCUGAGACGCGAAAGCGUGGGGAGCGAACAGGAUUAGAUACCCUGGUAGUCCACGCCGUAAACGAUGGGCACUAGGUGUGGGAGGUGUCGACUCCUCCCGUGCCGGCGCUAACGCAUUAAGUGCCCCGCCUGGGGAGUACGGCCG
rnacentral:rRNA from 1 species